ACCAUGGACAGCAACACAGACUGACUGAAGGGGCGUUGGGAGGAAGAAGAGGCACGACCAGAUUUCAGCACACGGGUGGCAAAACAUGAACAUGUCUCAGCCUCAUUGAAUAUGGAAGAAAACACAUCUGUGGCGAGAGGAAAUAAAAACAAAGCAGAGAUGAUGGAGACUUGCUUUUGGUCUACAGCAGCAUCAGACCGGAAUAUUUUGCCGCUCCGAUAAACCUCACAGUGCUGAACAAGAGGGCCAUCUCACGCAUCGCAACCACAACAGAGCUGGA